GACUGUGUGUUUCUGCAAUAUCAGCCCUAUGCUUACCAAAUUCUGUGAGCAGGGCCUGCCUCUUGCUAACAACCUGACUUUGCUUUAUAUUAGCAA